rnacentral:rRNA from 1 species
CAGCCGCCGCGGUAAUGCGUAGGGUGCAGGCGUUAAUCGGAAUUACUGGGCGUAAAGCGUGCGCAGGCGGUUAUAUAAGUCAGAUGUGAAAUCCCCGGGCUCAACCUGGGAACUGCAUUUGAGACUGUAUGGCUAGAGUGUGUCAGAGGGGGGUAGAAUUCCACGUGUAGCAGUGAAAUGCGUAGAUAUGUGGAGGAAUACCGAUGGCGAAGGCAGCCCCCUGGGAUAACACUGACGCUCAUGCACGAAAGCGUGGGGAGCAAACAGGAUUAGAUACCCCUGUAGUCCCUGUCUCUUAUAC